GGUCUGGUGGUGUAGUGGUUAAUCGCACCUACUCUACAUUGUUUGGGUCCCAAGCUGUUUAGUAGGAGUCUCUCGUUCGAUUCGAGGCCAGGCCG